UCCAUUUCAUGGCUUUUUCUGGGAAGCUAUUUACAAAGGUCAACUUGCUCUAGAUGGAUUAUGGAUGACAAACAAAAGAUAUGAUACUAUUCAAGUCAAGCUUGAUGAGCCAGUGAGUUUGUUGGGUUACUUUCAGGAGUAUGGAGUACAAAGAUAGUUGUGUCACCAAAAAUUUCAUCCCAGCAUGAGUAACUGGAGAAGGAGAUGUCAACUUAGAAGACCAGAAGCAAAAACUAUAAACCUCAGAACAAUGUUUUCUUCCCUGUUUGAUGUAACCACUCCAAGAGAGUCAGAGCUGGUUCUGGGUUUGGGAGAGUGGAUUCCACAGUAAGAGCACAAGUGAACUGAACAGAGCAUCAGAAUUCCUCUGUUGCCUGAUGGUCAGUUUACUCACCUGUGUGCACAUGAUGGAAGAGCAAGAAACUGAAAUACUGUACUCAUGAUGUAUUUCUUUUUAGAUAUUUAAAGAUAUUGUUCUGACAAACAUUUAAAAAAUGAUUUCUCUCAAUA